UGGGGAAUAUUGCACAAUGGGCGAAAGCCUGAUGCAGCAACGCCGCGUGUGUGAAGAAGGCCUUCGGGUUGUAAAGCACUUUUGUCCGGAAAGAAAUCCUUGGCUCUAAUACAGUCGGGGGAUGACGGUACCGGAAGAAUAAGCACCGGCUAACUACGUGCCAGCAGCCGCGGUAAUACGUAGGGUGCAAGCGUUAAUCGGAAUUACUGGGCGUAAAGCGUGCGCAGGCGGUUUGCUAAGACCGAUGUGAAAUCCCCGGGCUCAACCUGGGAACUGCAUUGGUGACUGGCAGGCUAGAGUAUGGCAGAGGGGGGUAGAAUUCCACGUGUAGCAGUGAAAUGCGUAGAGAUGUGGAGGAAUACCGAUGGCGAAGGCAGCCCCCUGGGCCAAUACUGACGCUCAUGCACGAAAAGCGUGGGGAGCAAACAGGAUUAGAUACCCUGGUAGUCCACGCCCUAAACGAUGUCAACUAGUUGUUGGGGAUUCAUUUCCUUAGUAACGUAGCUAACGCGUGAAGUUGACCGCCUGGGGAGUACGGUCGCAAGAUUAAAACUUAAAUGAAUUGACGGGGUCAUAGCUGUUUCCUG
rnacentral:rRNA from 1 species